rnacentral:rRNA from 1 species
CAGGAUGAACGCUAGCGACAGGCUUAACACAUGCAAGUCGAGGGGCAGCAUAAAAGUAGCAAUACUUGGUGGCGACCGGCGCACGGGUGAGUAACGCGUAUGCAACCUACCUAUCAGAGAGGAAUAACCCGGCGAAAGUCGGACUAAUACCGCAUAAAACAGGGGCACCGCAUGGUGAUAUUUGUUAAAGAAAUUCGCUGAUAGAUGGGCAUGCGUUCCAUUAGGUAGUUGGUGAGGUAACGGCUCACCAAGCCGACGAUGGAUAGGGGAACUGAGAGGUUGGUCCCCCACACUGGUACUGAGACACGGACCAGACUCCUACGGGAGGCAGCAGUGAGGAAUAUUGGUCAAUGGGCGGGAGCCUGAACCAGCCAAGUCGCGUGGAAAAGGAAGAAGGAUCUAUGGUUCGUAAACUUCUUUUGCAGGGGAAUAAAGUGCAGGACGUGUCCUGUUUUGUAUGUACCCUGAGAAUAAGGAUCGGCUAACUCCGUGCCAGCCGCUGC